CCCCUAUGAACUGCCUCCACAUAGCCCCUUUUUGGAUGAUAGCCCCGAGUAUGGACUGCACGGCUACCAACUCCAUGUUGAUCUGCACAGCGGUGGGGUUUUCUACCUAUGUGGUACAUUUCGCAAUCUCUUCACCAAGAGAGGAAAUAUUGAAAAUGGACAUGUGAAGCUCAUUGUUAUACAUUUAAAAAAUAACAGAGAACACCUACCUCUUAUUGGAAAAGUUGGCCUCUCGUGGAAAACUGAUAUUUUUGAUGGCUGUAUAAAGUUCCCCGGUGUGCCUGAGAUCGCCUGCCACACCCUCUGACAGCUCUAGCUUCUUGGGACAGACAUACAACGUGGACUACGUUGAUGCGGAAGGAAGAGUGCACGUGGAGCUGGUGUGGAUCAGAGAGACCGAAGAAUACCUUAUUGUCAACCUGGUCCUUUAUCUUAGUAUCGCAAAAAUCAACCAUUGGUUUGGGACUGAAUAUUAGCAGUAGGUGGCAAAUUA
rnacentral:lncRNA from 1 species